ACUCCCCCGCCUCCGCCCGCGUUAAGGUGGAACCGGCCCGCCGGCCGCAGAGCGGUGCUGGGGUCAGAGGCAGAGUUAGCGCAGAGCCUCCCCCAACUACCUCCAAAAUACACCCGAAAUCCAGCUGGUCUCGGUGCUACCAGAGCCCCUCAAUAAACCCUUGCCCAUCUCAGAGAGUCCCACCCCAAAAGUGUAUCCAUCCAGACCCCCAGGGUGCUCAGGCAGUUCCCCGCCAAGAAAUACCCCAAAGCCGGGGCUCCCUCCGACAAGCACUAUAACAUAUGGUAGUUUUAAAUUAACCUUGGCCUCCCACUUGCUUUUCUGGCCAGAACAGCAGAAAGAGGGGGUGGGGGAAUGGGAGGUGUUCCCUGCCUUGUUCCUUGCCCCGCGAAGCUUUUCCAGGAGAGAAAAUGUAAUUGCAUUUUGUUAUGCACUGAACCAGGGGGUGGCCUUUUAUGGCCCAAAAAACCACACACACAUUCAAUAAAACAGUUAAUUUGCUGGGAGAGAGAGUCAUAGGUGCAACAUCCUCUUAAAUAAGCGUCCAGGCAAGUGCUGCUGAAGGAGAGAUCCUGGGAUCAAUGGAAACUUUGAGCAUGAAGAGGAAUGGAGGACCUGGCCUUGAUGAGCAACCCAUGGCUGGAGAGACUACUGGAGAAAAUAGCAGUGGCUUCUUCUCCCUAGCUUGCUUCAGAGAAUCUGGAGCUGGUAUUCAGCUACUCUCUGAAAAUGACCGUCACUAGGUGAGAACCAACCCAGCUGUAGCUUGUAUGAAGAGUAACAGGUACAGCAGCAGCCAACCAAGCGGAACAGAGACGGCUUGGGAAUUCUGCGGUAUAAAACGGAUUUAUAGCAACAACCUAGGGUCCAUCUCAAGCAGGAAACAGGACAGGUUGGGGGGAACGUACCAGUAAAGCCUGAGGAGCUGACGUUGCAGAGCUAGCUGCUUACCUAUAACACAAGCAAGCCGCAUAAAUCUGAAGUAACUACUGAAAUCAGUGGUGUUGCUGCAGAUUUACACUGGUGUACAGAGAUCAGACUCUGGCCCUGGUUAUAUUCCGAACUGUGGAAAGCUAUAAUCCAUCAUUAUUGUAUUUUCCUGUUCAUGAAUGUUUGCCUUCUAUACCUCAACUCAACUUGCUCCAAGCUAUCUCUUUCAAGCUUCCCCCAUUGUCUUGCCUGGUAACACUGACUCUGUACCCAUUCUUCUCUGAUUGCACAAGUUCCUUGUGCUGAUCAUGCAGGAAGUAUUUCCUGAGGUAGCAUUUCCUGAUGACUAACUACUGAGGAAAUCAGCCUGGAGACUGUGAUGAUGAAUCUUUCUUUCUAUUUUUUUUUUAAUCUUUUAAAAAAAUUCUCCCUUUGUACUAUUUUUGAACUUCAAAAAGCUGGUCAUGAUAGAAAUGUGUUUUCUAUUAAAGACUCUAAAUCUGGGUUCUCCCCUUUUUGAGAACAGAGCAAUAA